CAAAGCCGUAUUUUUGGAGAGGGUGAAACAGCCCUGGAGAAUCUGGGCUGUGACAGCUGACUUCACCCCAGUGGGACAGACAAGCCCCAAUGGAGAGCCAAGUUUAGACAGCCUCUCUCACCAGCCCCACCUUCUCCUUCGCUCCUUCCCUCUUAACAUAAAGCAGGCAAGGCGGCUAUUAUUAGUCUGGGGUGUCAGGCCUGUUCCUCUGCGAACGUCUCUUAAUAUCACCUCUUGGGGGUUUGCCCUGAAAACAGAGCCUUGUUGUUGUGGCACCUUUAAAAAGGCAAGUGGACAUAGAAAGCUGCCUUACGUUUUUUGGGGGGGAAGCCUUUUAGCUCAGUGCUUUGCAAGCAGAAGGUCCUAGGUCCAAUCCCUGGUUUCCAUCUCCAGGUAGGGCUAGGAGAGAUUCCCGGUUUGAAACCCUGGGGAACCAAUCAGUGUUGACAAUCCUAAGACAGAUGGAGCAACUCAGUCUAAUGGAUAUUUAUUGGGGGGAAAUCCAUGGGUCAGUGGAAGAGGACCUGCCUUGCAUGGACGAAGUUCCCAGGAUUAAUCCCUGUCAUCUCCAGCCCGGUCCCCCCACAAGGUCUGAGGGACAGUGGACCGGCUCCCUGCUGAAAAAGUUUGCUGACCCCUGUCUAAUGCAUCAGGAAGAACUACCUGGACAAAAUUGCAGUAAACUCGUGGAAUAAUUAAAGAUGAGCCAGCAUUGUGCAGUAGUGAUUAGAGGGUCAGAUUAGAAUGCAAGAGAUCCUGGCUGAAGUGUCCACCCAUUGAACAACUCCAGUCAUUUAGCUCAGUAUCGUCUAUCGAGGGAAACUUUGGCCCACCAGAUGUUGCUGAACUACAACUCCCAUCAUUCUUGACUAUUAGCCAUGACUGCUGAGGCUGC